UACGUAGGGUGCAAGCGUUGUCCGGAAUUAUUGGGCGUAAAGAGCUCGUAGGCGGUCUGUCGCGUCGGAUGUGAAAAUCCAGGGCUCAACCCUGGACCUGCAUUCGAUACGGGCAGACUAGAGUUCGGUAGGGGAGAAUGGAAUUCCUGGUGUAGCGGUGAAAUGCGCAGAUAUCAGGAAGAACACCCGUGGCGAAGGCGGUUCUCUGGGACGGUACUGACGCUGAGACGCGAAAGCGUGGGGAGCGAACAGG
rnacentral:rRNA from 1 species